GGGUUGUGAGGUUAAGCGACUAAGCGUACACGGUGGAUGCCCUGGCAGUCAGAGGCGAUGAAGGACGUGCUAAUCUGCGAAAAGCGUCGGUAAGGUGAUAUGAACCGUUACAGCCGGCGAUGUCCGAAUGGGGAAACCCAGUGUGAUUCGUCACACUAUCGUUAACUGAAUACAUAGGUUAACGAGGCGAACCGGGGGAACUGAAACAUCUAAGUACCCCGAGGAAAAGAAAUCAACCGAGAUUCCCCCAGUAGCGGCGAGCGAACGGGGAGCAGCCCAGAGUCUGAAUCAGCUUGUGUGUUAGUGGAACGGUCUGGAAAGUCCGACGGUACAGGGUGAUAGUCCCGUACACCAAAAUGCACAGGCUGUGAACUCGAAGAGUAGGGCGGGACACGUGGUAUCCUGUCUGAAUAUGGGGGGACCAUCCUCCAAGGCUAAAUACUCCUGACUGACCGAUAGUGAACCAGUACCGUGAGGGAAAGGCGAAAAGAACCCCGGCGAGGGGAGUGAAAAAGAACCUGAAACCGUGUACGUACAAGCAGUGGGAGCACCUUCGGGUGUGACUGCGUACCUUUUGUAUAAUGGGUCAGCGACUUAUAUUCUGUAGCAAGGUUAACCGUAUAGGGGAGCCGCAGGGAAACCGAGUCUUAACUGGGCGUUAAGUUGCAGGGUAUAGACCCGAAACCCGGUGAUCUAGCCAUGGGCAGGUUGAAGGUUGGGUAACACUAACUGGAGGACCGAACCGACUAAUGUUGAAAAAUUAGCGGAUGACUUGUGGCUGGGGGUGAAAGGCCAAUCAAACCGGGAGAUAGCUGGUUCUCCCCGAAAGCUAUUUAGGUAGCGCCUCGUGAACUCAUCUUCGGGGGUAGAGCACUGUUUCGGCUAGGGGGUCAUCCCGACUUACCAACCCGAUGCAAACUACGAAUACCGAAGAAUGUUAUCACGGGAGACACACGGCGGGUGCUAACGUCCGUCGUGAAGAGGGAAACAACCCAGACCGCCAGCUAAGGUCCCAAAGUCAUGGUUAAGUGGGAAACGAUGUGGGAAGGCACAGACAGCCAGGAUGUUGGCUUAGAAGCAGCCAUCAUUUAAAGAAAGCGUAAUAGCUCACUGGUCGAGUCGGCCUGCGCGGAAGAUGUAACGGGGCUAAACCAUGCACCGAAGCUGCGGCAGCGACACUAUGUGUUGUUGGGUAGGGGAGCGUUCUGUAAGCCUGCGAAGGUGACCUGUGAGGGUUGCUGGAGGUAUCAGAAGUGCGAAUGCUGACAUAAGUAACGAUAAAGCGGGUGAAAAGCCCGCUCGCCGGAAGACCAAGGGUUCCUGUCCAACGUUAAUCGGGGCAGGGUGAGUCGACCCCUAAGGCGAGGCCGAAAGGCGUAGUCGAUGGGAAACAGGUUAAUAUUCCUGUACUUGGUGUUACUGCGAAGGGGGGACGGAGAAGGCUAUGUUAGCCGGGCGACGGUUGUCCCGGUUUAAGCAUGUAGGCUGAUUGUCCAGGCAAAUCCGGAUAAUCAAGGCUGAGGUGUGAUGACGAGGCACUACGGUGCUGAAGUAACAAAUGCCCUGCUUCCAGGAAAAGCCUCUAAGCAUCAGGUAACAUCAAAUCGUACCCCAAACCGACACAGGUGGUCAGGUAGAGAAUACCAAGGCGCUUGAGAGAACUCGGGUGAAGGAACUAGGCAAAAUGGUGCCGUAACUUCGGGAGAAGGCACGCUGGUGUGUAGGUGAAGUCCCUGCGGAUGGAGCUGAGACCAGUCGAAGAUACCAGCUGGCUGCAACUGUUUAUUAAAAACACAGCACUGUGCAAACACGAAAGUGGACGUAUACGGUGUGACGCCUGCCCGGUGCCGGAAGGUUAAUUGAUGGGGUUAUCCGUAAGGAGAAGCUCUUGAUCGAAGCCCCGGUAAACGGCGGCCGUAACUAUAACGGUCCUAAGGUAGCGAAAUUCCUUGUCGGGUAAGUUCCGACCUGCACGAAUGGCGUAAUGAUGGCCAGGCUGUCUCCACCCGAGACUCAGUGAAAUUGAACUCGCUGUGAAGAUGCAGUGUACCCGCGGCAAGACGGAAAGACCCCGUGAACCUUUACUAUAGCUUGACACUGAACAUUGAGCCUUGAUGUGUAGGAUAGGUGGGAGGCUUUGAAGCGUGGACGCCAGUCUGCGUGGAGCCAACCUUGAAAUACCACCCUUUAAUGUUUGAUGUUCUAACGUUGGCCCCUUACCGGGGUUGCGGACAGUGUCUGGUGGGUAGUUUGACUGGGGCGGUCUCCUCCCAAAGCGUAACGGAGGAGCACGAAGGUUAGCUAAUCCUGGUCGGACAUCAGGAGGUUAGUGCAAUGGCAUAAGCUAGCUUGACUGCGAGCGUGACGGCGCGAGCAGGUGCGAAAGCAGGUCAUAGUGAUCCGGUGGUUCUGAAUGGAAGGGCCAUCGCUCAACGGAUAAAAGGUACUCCGGGGAUAACAGGCUGAUACCGCCCAAGAGUUCAUAUCGACGGCGGUGUUUGGCACCUCGAUGUCGGCUCAUCACAUCCUGGGGCUGAAGUAGGUCCCAAGGGUAUGGCUGUUCGCCAUUUAAAGUGGUACGCGAGCUGGGUUUAGAACGUCGUGAGACAGUUCGGUCCCUAUCUGCCGUGGGCGCUGGAGAAUUGAGGGGGGCUGCUCCUAGUACGAGAGGACCGGAGUGGACGCAUCACUGGUGUUCGGGUUGUCAUGCCAAUGGCACUGCCCGGUAGCUAAAUGCGGAAGAGAUAAGUGCUGAAAGCAUCUAAGCACGAAACUUGCCCCGAGAUGAGUUCUCCCUGAGACUUUAAGUCUCCUGAAGGAACGUUGAAGACGACGACGUUGAUAGGCCGGGUGUGUAAGCGCAGCGAUGCGUUGAGCUAACCGGUACUAAUGAACCGUGAGGCUUAACCUUACAACGCCGAAG
rnacentral:rRNA from 1 species